CUCAAGAACAACCAAAUUAAAGCAGUGAUCUUAUCUAUUAAAGGACUGUUUACACAUAUGCUUUUAAUGAUGUCUUCUGCUUUGAGAAAUCUUAAGGUCUUCUGUACUGCAAUCCCAGCUCCCAGCUCCCUUCCUCACGAAAAGCUUCUUGCUUAUUUCCUGCUGCAAAUAUAAUGGGGGAUUUUCUGGUCAUGGUAUCUGAUGUUCACAAUGCUUCAAAACACAGAUUUGGGUAUUAGCUCUGUACGAAACAAACCCAGGUAGUUUUGCAUUCCACUGAUACAUCAGUUUCUUUGGGCCUGCCCAGAUGCAGGACUGCUGUAUAUGUCAAUCAUUAAUUUUUAAAAACUAAAGCCCUUUAUUGUUGCUUCCAGGAGCUGUAGCUAAACGGGAUCCUACUGACCUUCCACAAAAAUUGAGCUGCUACAUACAAAGGUUAAAUUCCACCUAAUUUUAUUUUUAACCUUUAUCUUUCUCAGAUAUCUCCAGUUAGAGUCCACUCAGCACGGCAGCCUUCUGCAAACAUGCCAAGGCACUCCUUUUGUCUUGGCUCUAAAGAAAAAACACCACUUCAUGACUUGCCAAGGACAACUCUUCAGAAAUAUCUCCAUCUAUCUCCAGUGAAGCACGUUCUGCUUAUUGAAAAGUACGGCAGAAAGCAAUUCUUAAAUUGUCAUCUGAGGCUAACAUGCAAAAUCAAACAAAGAGAGA